UCAGAGUUACGCGGUUUGAAGGGUAUGCAGGCGGAAUAAUACGUGAGUGGUGAAAUCGGGCAGCUCAACUGCAGAACAUGCCAUGAUACUGUAUUGACGAGUAUAUUUGAAGUGGGCGGAAUGUGUCAUGUAGCGGUGAAAUGCUUAGAUAUGACACAGAACAGCCAUUUGCGAAGGCAGCUCAGUUAGUUAUAAAUGACGCUCAUGCACGAAAGCGUGGGGAUCACACAUGAUUCGCUACCUAGGUAGUGCACGCUGUAAAUGAUGCUUACUACAUGUUGGCGAUAUACAGUCAGGGUAUAAGUGAAAGCAAUAAGUAAUCCACCUGCAGAGUACGAUCGCAAGGUAGAAACUCAAGGGAAUCGACAGCGGUCCGCACAAGCGGAGGAGCAUGUGGUAUAAUUAGAACAUACGCGAGGAUCCUCACGCAGGGGAGAAUGCUAUAAUAUGCAAGAAGGUGUUCGCAGAAAUGCACAGAAAAUUCCAAGCUGUUGCAUGGCUGUGUUCAGCUAUUGCUGUGAGGUCCAGGGUUAAGUCCCAUACCGAGCGCAACCCCUAUUGCUAGUUACCAUCAGGUAAUAAGGGCACUCUAGCGAAACUGCCUACGAAGGUAGUGAGGAAGGCACGGAUGACGGUAAGUCAGCACGGCCCUUACGACCAGGGUUACACACCUGGUACAAUGGCCAGUACAGAGGGCAGGUGCCAGGAGACUGGAAAAAAAUCUCUAAAACCGGUCUCGGUUCGGAUAGAAGUCUGCAAGUAGACUUAGUGAAGUGGGAUGGGGCAUUAAUCGGAUAUCAAC
rnacentral:rRNA from 1 species